CGCCGCGUGGAGGAUGAAGUCCCUUGGGACGUAAACUCCUUUCGACCAAGACGAUUAUGACGGUACUGGUGGAAGAAGCACCGGCUAACUCUGUGC
rnacentral:rRNA from 1 species